ACGAGUUCGCGUAGGGAAGAGAGAAAUGCGUCUGAGAGAGAGAACGAGCACGAGAGGAAGGAGACGACCGUUCUCAUCGCUGCUAGAGGUUCCACCGCCGUCGUUGGUGCCAACCGAAGUCACCGCCGCCUUUGCAAGCUUUUUCCCAGGUGUUUUUCGCCGUUGCUGGAGAAACACUUCUAAAACUACUCAGAUCCGCUGGUAACACUACCUUGUACCAUUCUUGUUGCACUCCGAUCGAUUUGAAUCCACCGCUUUUCUUGGUGUUGUGGUCAUUGUUGUUAUAACGGGGAGUUAAUGUUGUUGCUACUGUUGCAGUUCCGGUUGCUGAAGUUUUGAUUUCUAUGAGUUUCAAUACUAAGACACAGUGGCUUGCCACCGCUUGCUCCAGGUUGAGACUCGAUACUCUGUU